rnacentral:rRNA from 1 species
UACGUAGGGUGCGAGCGUUAAUCGGAAUUACUGAGCGUAAAGCGUGCGCAGGCGGUUCGUUGUGUCGGUGGUGAAAUCCCCGGGCUUAACCUGGGAAUGGCCAUGGAAACUGGCGAACUGGAGUGCGGCAGAGGGGGGUGGGAAUUCCGCGUGUAGCAGUGAAAUGCGUAGAGAUGCGGAGGAACACCGAUGGCGAAGGCAAUCCCCUGGGCCUGUACUGACGCUCAUGCACGAAAGCGUGGGGAGCAAACAGG